rnacentral:rRNA from 1 species
GGUUAAGCUAUUAAGGGCGCACGGAGGAUGCCUAGGCGCCAGGAGCCUAAGAAGGACGCGGCGAACAGCGAAAUUGCCUCGGGGAGCCGUAAGCAGGCUUUGAUCCGGGGAUGUCCGAAUGGGGAAACCCGGCUGGGGUCAUGCCCAGUCAUCCAUGAGUGAAUACAUAGCUCAUGAGAAGGCACACCCAGGGAACUGAAACAUCUAAGUACCUGGAGGAGAAGAAAACAAGAGUGAUUCCGUCAGUAGCGGCGAGCGAAAGCGGAUUAGCCCAAACCUGAGAGCUUGCUCUCAGGGGUUGUGGGACGUCUCACAUGGAGUUACAAAGGAGCAGGUUAGGCGAAGAGAUCUGGAAAGGUCCGCCAUAGAGGGUAAAAGCCCCGUAGCCGAAAGUCUGCUCCCUCCGAGACGGAUCCCGAGUACCGCGGGACACGAGAAACCCCGUGGGAAUCCGGCAGGACCAUCUGCCAAGGCUAAAUACUCCCUGGCGACCGAUAGUGAAGCAGUACCGUGAGGGAAAGGUGAAAAGCACCGCGGGAGCGGAGUGAAAAAGAACCUGAAACCGUGCGCUUACAAGAAGUCAGAGCCCGAUCUAGGGGUGAUGGCGUGCCUUUUGUAGAAUGAACCGGCGAGUUACGUUUACGUGCGAGGUUAAGUCGGAGAGACGGAGCCGCAGCGAAAGCGAGUCUGAAUAGGGCGCUUGAGUACGUAGUCGUAGACCCGAAACCGGGUGAUCUACCCCUGUGCAGGGUGAAGGUGAGGUAACACUUACUGGAGGCCCGAACUCGUGAGCGUUGAAAAGCUCUGGGAUGACGUGGGGGUAGGGGAGAAAUUCCAAUCGAACUCGGAGAUAGCUGGUUCUCCCCGAAAUAGCUUUAGGGCUAGCCUCGAGAUUUAGCAUCAUGGAGGUAGAGCACUGAUUGGGUGCGGGGCCCGCCAAGGGUUACCAAGUCCAGUCAAACUCCGAAUGCCAUGGAUGUAUGCUCGGGAGUCAGACGGCGAGUGCUAAGAUCCGUCGUCAAGAGGGAAAGAGCCCAGAUCAUCAGCUAAGGUCCCCAAGUGUGUGUUAAGUGGGAAAGGAUGUGGAGUUGCGAAGACAACCAGGAUGUUGGCUUAGAAGCAGCCACCAUUUAAAGAGUGCGUAAUAGCUCACUGGUCGAGUGACUCUGCGCCGAAAAUGUAACGGGGCUAAACACACCACCGAAGCUAUGGCUCGCGUUUCUUUUAGAAACGCUUGGGUAGGGGAGCGUUGAAUGCGGGUAGAAGUCGGACCGAGAGGACCGGUGGACUGCAUUCAAGUGAGAAUGCCGGUAUGAGUAACGAAAAGACAGGUGAGAAUCCUGUCCGCCGAAAGCCUAAGGGUUCCUGAGGAAGGUUCGUCCGCUCAGGGUAAGUCGGGACCUAAGGCGAGGCCGAAAGGCGUAGUCGAAGGACAACAGGUUGAAAUUCCUGUACCACCGUAAUCCGUUACGAGCGAUGGGGGGGACGCAGGAGGGCAAGAACGCGAGCUGAUGGAAUAGCUCGUCCAAGCAGUGAGGGGUGCAUGUAGGCAAAUCCGCAUGCUUUAACCUUGAGCUGUGAUGGGGAGGGAAAAUUACAGUACCGAAGGUUCCGUGCUCACGCUGCCGAGAAAAGCCUCUAGCCAGGAGAAGGUGCCCGUACCGCAAACCGACACAGGUAGGCGAGAAGAGAAUUCUAAGGCGCGCGGAAGAACUCUCGUUAAGGAACUCGGCAAAAUGACCCCGUAACUUCGGGAGAAGGGGUGCCUCGGUAGGGUGAAUAGCCCGAGGGGGCCGCAGUGAAUAGGCCCAAGCGACUGUUUAGCAAAAACACAGGUCUGUGCGAAGCCGUAAGGCGAAGUAUACGGGCUGACGCCUGCCCGGUGCUGGAAGGUUAAGGGGAGCGGUUAGGGGCAACCCGAAGCUGUGAACCGAAGCCCCAGUAAACGGCGGCCGUAACUAUAACGGUCCUAAGGUAGCGAAAUUCCUUGUCAGGUAAAUUCUGACCCGCACGAAUGGCGUAACGACUUGGGCGCUGUCUCAACGAGAGAUCCGGUGAAAUUUUAGUACCUGUGAAGAUGCAGGUUACCCGCGACGUGACGGAAAGACCCCAUGGAGCUUUACUGUAGCUUGAUAUUGAACUUGGGUACGGUCUGUACAGGAUAGGUGGGAGCCUAAGAAGUUGGAGCGCAAGCUUCAAUGGAGGCGCUUGGGAUACCACCCUGAUCGUAUCUAGGUUCUAACCUGUCACCGUGAAUCCGGUGAAGGGACCGUGUCAGGCGGACAGUUUGACUGGGGCGGUCGCCUCCUAAAGCGUAACGGAGGCGCCCCAAGGUUCCCUCAGAAUGGU